rnacentral:rRNA from 1 species
AACGAACGCUGGCGGCAGGCCUAACACAUGCAAGUCGAGCGAGGACUUCGGUCCUAGCGGCGGACGGGUGAGUAACGCGUGGGAACGUGCCCUUUGCUUCGGAAUAGCCCUGGGAAACUGGGAGUAAUACCGGAUGAGCCCUUUGGGGGAAAGAUUUAUCGGCGAAGGAUCGGCCCGCGUUGGAUUAGGUAGUUGGUGGGGUAAUGGCCUACCAAGCCGACGAUCCAUAGCUGGUUUGAGAGGAUGAUCAGCCACACUGGGACUGAGACACGGCCCAGACUCCUACGGGAGGCAGCAGAGGGGAAUCUUAGACAAUGGGGGAAACCCUGAUCGAGCCAUGCCGCGUGAGCGAUGAAGGCCUUAGGGUUGUAAAGCGCUUUCAGCUGGGAAGAUAAUGACGGUACCAGCAGAAGAAGCCCCGGCUAACUCCGUG